CUCACUAUUCUUGCCUCUCAAAAGGCACAUAUAAAGAAAAUUGUUAUUUUGACACAGACUGUAGGCACUUUAUAUCCAACACCGACACUUCUGAUUGAAGGUUUGUUCGGUAUCCAACACCGACAUGACACCAACACAUGUGAUUAUAUUCAAUUACUUUAUUAUAUCAUAUUAUUAGUGGUAUCGACGUGUUAGUGUCGGUGCUUCAUAGAUUACAUGGUUAAUGUAAUUCAAAUACAUGAUUAAUUACGCCUUGUAGAAUGGUCAACAAAUAUACAAAUUUGAACACAACGAGUUUUUCACACAACACUGUCCAUUUCUUCAUGACAUGGUUAACGCAAUUCAAAUAGUAUGUUGUUAGUUACGUUCAGUAGAUGAUUAAUGAAUAUAACAAGGUGUUGCGACUCAUUAACCAUCAUAUGAACGUGGUGUAUUUGAACUGCAGUAUACAUGAUAUACAUUGACUAUCUAUUGAAUGCAAUCAAUUUGAACCGUAUAUCUGUGAAUAAAAUAGCAUACGGUGUCAUCAAAUUGUGUGCCGAAAUAACACAGCUGAUAAAUAUAAUCAAUAUUACUACAUUACUUGAUUACUAAGACAGCUAAAGAGAUGGGAAGAGAAAUCCAAGUGUACCUUUGAAACUGAAUUUGCUAGACCUGUUAUUUCUUCUAACAUCUCACAUUCUCACACAAGGAGCAUUAGACCACAAAGACUUGUCAAUACUAGGAUGAAAAUCAACCGUAACAAUUCUAUGAUCUUCC
rnacentral:lncRNA from 1 species